ensembl:lincRNA Gm12498 predicted gene 12498
CCUUUUGGCCUCAGUUACUCCCCGGCUUUGUAGAAAGCUCCCCAGAUGCUUUAUUCAUUCUUCCGACAUCUACUGGGUAAAGCUCUCGACCUAUGGGGAGCAGUUUCAGUGCCUUGCCUUCUCAGCCUAUCCAUUGUGGAAUAUAAUCAGAACCAGAACCCAGAGUAUCUGGAGACUCUCUCUGGGUCAUGAAAGAUGUUACAGAUUCUGGGGAGUGGCCAGUGCUUCCCAGGCACAAGGUGGAAGGAAGGGAGAUGCUCCUGCUGCCAUGAUGGACUGGAAAUCUCUCUGACUUCCCAGGCUGUGGUUGGGGCUGGGUCUGAGUCUUCUGUCCCAGGCUGGACUUAAAGUUGCUGUGAGGCUGAAGAUGACCUUGAUGGUUCUUCUGUUCCAGCCCCAGCCUCCUGAGUGUUAAGGUUACAGACCUGAGUGCAAAGAUGGUGGCAGCAGGGCUAAGGACCUGGCAUUCCCUUCCCAGGCUGGUGGCAGGCGCCGCAGUUCCUGCAGGAUGACUUUGAUGCUGUGGGAGUUCUGCCACUUUGCCAGCACUGCCGUGGCUCUCGGAUCCACCACUCCAUUCGAACUGCUCACGCCGCUCAUAUUGACUCUUGUUACAAAUUUUACAGACAGGGGUGCCUCUGGGUACUUAGGCCCACACUCUAUCUUAAGGCUGUAUAUUCGGUUUUCAUAGAUUGUUCGUGGAGGCCCAAUUAUCAUGCCUGUCCAUCUUGUAAGUGUCAUGCCCUCGUCGUCCUCCAGACCCCAGCUAACUGUGCCAUCGCCUACUCCUUUCUGUCCUUCUUCCAAUUCUUCUAACAGUCAGAAAUUUUGAGGGACUUUUACUCCCGAGCCUGUGGUGGCUGACAUCUUGCGCCGCUGUCACUCGAAGGCCGGCCCCUUCUUCACCCCCACCCCGAGUUUUAAAAUUUUUAAAGCCAUUAUUUAUAGAAUUCUGUGGUUUUGCAUGGACCAUGUUGAAUGUCACCCAUUGGCCUGGAAGAAAUUACGGAAUCCAUCUCAGAUGUCACUCUAUAGGUUAUAAGCCAAAUUUCCUCCAGCACAUUUAGAUUUUUUUCCUGUACAGUGUCCUUUUAAGACACUAGGGCUGGCUGCACUGUGAACUUGUGACAGUGCACAGAGACACCCAGAGGAUCAGUGACCAACGCUGGGAUUAAAUUCUCCAAGACAGCACUGGCUGUGACUCCUAGCUUCAGAUCUCUCCACGUCUCCAGUCCCCACAGUUCCCUGCUGCCUUUCAGGGACCUUUCUCAUUCAAAGGGACAAUGAUCUCGGACUCUGGGGACCCUGCAUUGAGAACUUGCUGUCCUAGCCCUUAUCCCUGUCUGCAGAUAGAUUCUGUCCUCUGAAGGGCUCCAGGGCUCUGGCUCCCUUCCCAGGCCCUCUGAGUCCUUGUCCUAGACAGUAUGGAUUCCUUCUGCUUUCUUCCACUCCUCCUUCUCUACUUCCCACAGUGUGUGACAAUCUGCUGAAGUGCCUCAUUCAUACUUGCAAAAUAUGUCCCUGUAGUUCCCACCAAACUGCUGCUAAAGCCCCAGUGACAUGGUCACUUUUCGUGCAUCCUCACCAAGACCUGCAGAACAUGUGGUUUCUUUAAUGUCCUAGGAUGAGAUGGCCUCUGCUUGCCCCCUGCAACCUCACUGCACAGCUCCUAUGUGGGUGACAUGAUAUGUUGCCUUCAUACCCCGUAGUCCCAGUAAAGGAUGAUUUAAUCCCAAAAUGUACGUCCUGCAGAGCAACAGCCUUGGCCUUUGACUUGUAAACUCAUUUUAGUCUCCCCUUCCAUCAAGCCUCUUGGUUGUCUGCAAAAAAGAAAGUAAACAGGUAGGACAGUGUUCUUGGGAGGACAUUGACCUUGUGAAGGUAAUACUACAGGGCAUAUACUACUUGUGAAGGAUAUACUACUAUAUAUCUCAGGGUAACCUGAAAGGUCAUUUGAGCCACCCUGUCAUAUACAAACGCAUGUCCGGAGCCUGGGCCAGGUCCUGCAUUUAGGGACAGCUGAGGGUCUUGCUUUGGGCUCCCAUGUGUACAGCAUCCUGGUAUCCCUUGAAAGCAAACUUCUUGGGUCACAUGCUCUCCCUCUCUAUGGCACAACCCAGCGUGGGCUCUUUUUCUCCCUUGUGCUCUGCUGGGUUUUGUCAGCUGACUGUUGUCCACAGCUGUGGCUUCCCUCAAACUUCCGGCCCCUCUGUGGUUGGUACUUGAAUUUAGAUUCAUAAACACGGCCAAAAUACAGAUUAGUUUUUUAAUAACUGAUAACAGUUCUCAAACCCCCUAAAGGAAAAUACGGAGCCCUGUUUAUCUCUGCCUUGGGGUUGUUUCCAUGUCACCGACUGUUCCUGUAACUUGAGGCUGUGUGCGCAAAAAUCCGGUACCUGUCAGACUGACAGAGUUCUUUCCAUGACGAUAAGUGCUACAUUAAACUCUCAGGUCGGGG